UACGUAGGGUCCAAGCGUUAUCCGGAAUCACUGGGCGUAAAGCGUGCGUAGGUGGCGUGUUAAGUGUGAUGUUAAAUCGUGGGGCUCAACCCUGUCGAUGCAUCGCAUACUGGCAUGCUAGAGGACGGCAGAGGCAAGUGGAAUUGGUAGUGUAGCAGUGAAAUGCGUAGAUAUUACCAGGAACACCAAUGGCGAAGGCAGCUUGCUGGGCCACUCCUGACACUGAGGUACGAAAAGCGUGGGGAGCGAACAGG
rnacentral:rRNA from 1 species